CAGGAGAGAGAGAAGAUAAGACGGAGAGAGAGGAGGAGAGGAGGGAGAGGAAAGGAGGUGCGGUGGCAGGGAAAUCGUCGUCGGAUGCGUCCUAUAUGUGAUGGGUGUGUUCCCAUCAAGUCGAUGGUGGGGUUGAUGUGCCCGUCGAUUCGGUGAUCCGUUGGCUGAGCUCGUCUUCUCAGUGGCAGACUUGUGUUCUAUGGUAGUCGGAGCCAUUGUAUGUGGUUGUGCAGUUGCUGAUGUACAGGAGGCAUCCGUGGUGUCAGUUCUUCAUCGUCCAUGCUUAUCUUCUAUAUGCUCUAGCAGCCAGGAUUUAAUUGAUGGAGUCCUGCUGCUAAAGGACGUGAACAGGAAGUCCUAUCGCUGGAUGUUUACUGUCCGAAUUGCAAGGAUCUGGGAAUACAUGAGUACAGACCCUAUCAAAUUCUAUAGCUCUAUUCAUUGGCACACGAGUUGAUCAAUUUUGAGGUAAUAAAGCGAAGUUGUUAUCUGGAAAAUACUUACCUACUUAAAGAAGGUCAAAAUAGAGAAAUCGUUGGCAUAAUUUUUAUGUAUACAAUAUACUAGCUUUCAUAUCUACUUUGGACACCACGUGGCACAUCAACAUUAUGUACCUGAAGCGAUCGCUACAGAAGAAAGGUACCAAACAAGAUUAACUGUUUCUAUGCUUCUCAAAAUACUUUAGUAUAUGCCCAUAAUAUCACAGUAUGAAUUACUGUGUGGGAAGUUUGCUUUUUCUACCAUCACAGAAUAAUAAUUCAUUUUUUAGUUUGAUAUAUUCCGCGCCCAGUUAACUAUUUGUAUUUGCCAGUAGAAUGCAGGAAAAAAUACCAACCUGCUUGUGUUCCCAAGAGAGUGUAUUUUCUCCAUACCUCAACAUUCUUGAUACAUAUGGUCAUCUCUGUUCUGGACAGCACACUUCACGACCUCUCUUCAUGGCACAAAACUGAAACUGUGCCAUGAAUAUAUUUUCCUUGCAUGCUUGUCUAAAUAAAGUGUGCAAUACACAUGGCAUAGUCGCAUAGAUAUACAAAUCCCCUAUUCCUGUGAGCGAAACUGAAGCUUGCUACUUGUGUAAGACCAGUCAUAAACAUUUCUGUGAUUGUAGCUGAUUCCCGUCAGUGAAACUUUGCCAUGACCAUUGUUUAUUCAGUGAAAUAGCUGAUUCCAAUCAUCCAUCAACGAGAUUUGUGAUAAUCACAACAACAAGCUCAUAUCUUACAAAUCCCCUGAUUGGUGAUUAUCCAUUUUAUAUGAUGUUUUUUCAUUUGCAAGCGCUGAGUUUUUUCCUUUCAAGUUUCUCUCUCUUACUCUAUUUCAUUAAAUAUAUUUCUCCUCUCAUUCCAUCAUUCAGUCUAUCGGUUACUCAUGAUGAGUGAUUAUAUGCAAUCAUCCGACAAUAAUUAGUACAGAUAAUUAGUUGUGCCAGGUUGCUACAUUUCUGUCUCCUUUUUGCCAAUAUGAAAUAUGAUGGCAUAUUAAUAUUUAGAGCCAGUCUCGUCGUUCGCUGCAGCAUCACCCUUCUUUUCCGCCGCCCUAACUUUUUUGCACCCCGGGCCUAGCAGGCGAUAACGGCGCCACGAGGAUUCGCUGCCGUGAGGAGGACCCCGACCCGUAUGAUGGCCACCGGAAGGUCACACACUUCUUUGGCUCGCUCAGACUGGCUCCAUUGACGACUUCUCUAUGGUAUCUUCUUGUGCAGCUUCACACCUGCUUGUGUGUCUUGCAAAAAAGUAAGCUACCUGGUAACUCUCUACUCUGCUUUAGCAGGCGUUUGCAGAGGAAGCCAAGUGAUACAUGAUACUGGUGUAUUUGUUGGGUUCCUCUUGGCGUGUUGAACAAAAAUUGGCGGUCAUCACUGCUAUUUAAAGUUGGUUUGAUCAGUACUAGGGAAAACCCAUAUAUGGAAGGAAAUUAUUGUAGUUUCUUGGUAAAAUGAGUUAAAACAUGCAAGGAUACUUAGUGUUAGAAACUGCUCGGAUCUACUUUAUAUAAGCAGCUCAUCCAGCCUUGGAGCAGUAGAAAUCGGAGCAGAGCGUUCCACGACCCCACGUAGCAGGCAUGCAAUGGAGAUGGCUCAGCGAAGGAGUAGCUCAUGCGAUUCUACCUCGUCGGUGUCCUCAAUGGCUGACUUUGACUCAGAUUACAGUCAGUUUGUGUCCCCCAUCUCCUCACGGUCGAGGCCCAGCUUCAGGCGCGGAACGUCGGAGGCCGUACUACGCUAACCUAGCAUCUAAGGGACAUCCAGGGAAGGAUGCCGGAGGUGUUGGAAAUAUGCCCUAGAGGCAAUAAUAAAAGUAUUAUUAUUAUAUUUCCUUGUUCA